rnacentral:tRNA from 1 species
GGGACCGUAGCCCAAUCGGCAGGAGGCGGCGCGUUUAGGUCGCGCACAGUGUGGGUUCGAAUCCCACCGGUCCUA